rnacentral:rRNA from 1 species
GGCGAACGCUGGCGGCGUGCUUAACACAUGCAAGUCGAACGGAAAGGCCUCUUUCGGGGGGUACUCGAGUGGCGAACGGGUGAGUAACACGUGAGUAACCUGCCCUUGACUUUGGGAUAACUUCAGGAAACUGGGGCUAAUACCGGAUAGGAGCUCCUGCUGCAUGGUGGGGGUUGGAAAGUUUCGGCGGUUGGGGAUGGACUCGCGGCUUAUCCGCUUGUUGGUGGGGUAGUGGCUUACCAAGGCCUUGACGGGUAGCCGGCCUGAGAGGGUGACCGGCCACAUUGGGACUGAGAUACGGCCCAGACUCCUACGGGAGGCAGCAGUGGGGAAUAUUGCACAAGGGGUGGAAGCCUGAUGCAGCAACGCCGUGGGCGGGAUGACGGCCUUCGGGUUGUAAACCGCUUUCGCUCAUGACGAAGCUUUGUGUGACGGUAGUGGGUAAAGAAGCACCGGCUAACUACGUG